rnacentral:rRNA from 1 species
GACGAACGCUGGCGGCGUGCCUAAUACAUGCAAGUCGUGCGGACCUUUUAAAAGCUUGCUUUUAAAAGGUUAGCGGCGGACGGGUGAGUAACACGUGGGCAACCUGCCUGUAAGACUGGGAUAACGCCGGGAAACCGGGGCUAAUACCGGAUCGUUUUUCCUCCGCAUGGAGGAAAAAGGAAAGGCGGCUUCGGCUGCCACUUACAGAUGGGCCCGCGGCGCAUUAGCUAGUUGGCGGGGUAACGGCCCACCAAGGCAACGUUGCGUAGCCGCCCGGAGGGGGUGAUCGGCCACAUUGGGACUGAGACACGGCCCAAACUCCUACGGGAGGCAGCAGUAGGGAAUCUUCCGCAAUGGACGAAAGUCUGACGGAGCAACGCCGCGUGAGUGAAGAAGGCCUUCGGGUCGUAAAACUCUGUUGCCGGGGAAGAACAAGUGCCGUUCGAACAGGGCGGCGCCUUGACGGUACCCGGCCAGAAAGCCACGGCUAACUACGUG